AAAUUGAAGAGUUUGAUCAUGGCUCAGAUUGAACGCUGGCGGCAGGCCUAACACAUGCAAGUCGAACGGUAACAGGAARCAGCUUGCUGYUUCGCUGACGAGUGGCGGACGGGUGAGUAAUGUCUGGGAAACUGCCUGAUGGAGGGGGAUAACUACUGGAAACGGUAGCUAAUACCGCAUAAYGUCGCAAGACCAAAGAGGGGGACCUUCGGGCCUCUUGCCAUCGGAUGUGCCCAGAUGGGAUUAGCUUGUUGGUGGGGUAACGGCUCACCAAGGCGACGAUCCCUAGCUGGUCUGAGAGGAUGACCAGCCACACUGGAACUGAGACACGGUCCAGACUCCUACGGGAGGCAGCAGUGGGGAAUAUUGCACAAUGGGCGCAAGCCUGAUGCAGCCAUGCCGCGUGUAUGAAGAAGGCCUUCGGGUUGUAAAGUACUUUCAG
rnacentral:rRNA from 1 species